AUUUUUGCAGUGUUAGACCUCUUGAUUCUGAUCUCCUUUCGUGGACUCCAAGGCCUGGACAUGGUUACACCCAAAGACUGAAAUCUUGCAUCUUUAGUCACAAAGUCAUUGGUCAAAUACUCAUUCCAGGGGUAGAAUGGAUGUUUCCUUUGGAAAUCUGUUAAAAGAGUGCUUCAGCUUCCCAUUGGAAUGGAUGCCUGAGGGCACAGUGGUGCAAAUAAUGUAAAUGGACUUUUUUUUUACCCUGUUAGUUACACUUUAAAGCAGCGGUUCUCAACUGGUCUGACUUCAGGACUCACUGUCAAACCUCAAUUACAAGCCACGACCCAAACUGGUAAAAGUUAAACUUCUCUG